UACGAGGGGAGCUAGCGUUGUUCGGAAUUACUGGGCGUAAAGGGCGCGUAGGCGGCCCUAUAAGUCAGAUGUGAAAGCCCCGGGCUUAACCUGGGAGGUGCAUUUGAAACUGUAGAGCUUGAGAUCGAGAGAGGAAAGUGGAAUUACGAGUGUAGAGGUGAAAUUCGUAGAUAUUCGUAAGAACACCAGUGGCGAAGGCGACUUACUGGACGAUAACUGACGCUGAGGCACGAAAGCGUGGGUAGCAAACAGG
rnacentral:rRNA from 1 species